GUGUUGCUCGGCACCUUACGAGAAAUCAAAGUCUUUGGGUUCUGGGGGAGUAUGGUCGCAAGGCUGAAACUUAAAGGAAUUGACGGAAGGGCACCACCAGGUGUAAACUCAAACAAUUGCUUAGCCGCAGUUGCUCUGCACCGAACAGCAGCCGGAAACGGUGAGGUGGGCCCUUGUAAAACAAUUAAAUGCUAGUCCAAUACAACUUGUUUGUAUUGGGCAACACCUUCAAAUUGCGGGAAACCCCUAAAGCUUCAGUCACUGCUGCAGUAUGGAAACAUAACUGUAUGCUCCAGGGUAAUGACCUCGGGUAUAGUAAAAGCACUGAAGAUGUUACAAUGGGUGAUCCGCAGCCAAGGCCCUAAGUUAUUUUAGAAUAAUAUGGGACAGGUUCAGAGACUAGAUGGAGGUGGGUUCCAGCGAAACCCUUGGAGCUUAAGGUAUAGUCCGGCCUUGAGCGAAAGCUUGAGGAAGGCCUCGAUAAAUGAAACGGGAGCCUGCGGCUUAAUUUGACUCAACACGG
rnacentral:rRNA from 1 species